UCAACAAGCUGGAAUUAAUCAAGAUCAAUAGGAAGAGGAGGAAGAGGAUCAAAUCAAAAAGCUUAUGACGAGCAUCUAUUUGAAUCGAUCAUUUCCAAGAGCUAAUUCCAGUUUUUCCUUAUUCCGAGGUAACGCCUUACAAUCUUCAGUCUUACGCUUAAGGGGUAAAAUGUUCUUGUUGGAUGCAGGACUUGGGACCCCCAUCAUUUGUAUGCAAGAUGAGCUUACAGGAGUGCCAAAAAACCGAGCCACCAGGUUUGAGAAUAAAGUGGGUUUCCUGGGUAAAUCAAUGAUCAAAGAGCGAGCAGCCGCC
rnacentral:misc_RNA from 1 species